rnacentral:rRNA from 1 species
GACGAACGCUGGCGGCGUGCUUAACACAUGCAAGUCGAGCGGUAAGGCCCUUUCGGGGGUACGACGAGCGGCGAACGGGUAGAGUAACACGUGGGUGACCUGCCCUCAGCUCUGGGAUAAGCCUGGGAAACCGGGUCUAAUACCGGAUAUGACUCCAUGACGCAUGUUGUGGGGUGGAAAGCCUUGUGCGGCUGAGGAUGGGCCCGCGGCCUAUCAGCUUGUUGGUGGGGUGAUGGCCUACCAAGGCGACGACGGGUAGCCGGCCUGAGAGGGCGACCGGCCACACUGGGACUGAGACACGGCCCAGACUCCUACGGGAGGCAGCAGUAGGGAAUCUUGCGCAAUGGGCGAAAGCCUGACGCAGCGACGCCGCGUGAGGGAUGACGGCCUGUGUAACUC